CCUGGGUGUGCUCAUUUCUUGCUGAGGUUCCCUUCUCUGCAAAGACCUGCCUGACUCACUGCAUGACUUGGAAACACCCUCAGCUUAUUUAAGUGGAAGUUCACUGCCCUGGUGGGCACCUGGGUUUUUUAACUGACCUCUGAGACACACCUGAGCCAAGCAUGGCACAAAACAUUCCAUGGAAAACCACAGCUGCAGCCCUGCUAUCAAAAACUGGAGCUCACAGCAGCACAAUGAUGUUUCCUUUUGUUACAAUCAUUCCAGUUCCAGAGCUGGGAAUGCUGGGGGAGCCUGGAGAUCCCCAGGAGGGGCCCCUGAGUGCACCCCCUG